AUCCAGCUGACGAGUCCAAAAUAGGACGAAGCGCGCGUACUGGAU
rnacentral:hammerhead_ribozyme from 1 species